rnacentral:rRNA from 1 species
GCACAAGCGGUGGAGUAUGUGGUUUAAUUCGAUGAUACGCGAGAAACCCUACCAGGGUUUGACAUCAACGAUGAGUCGUGAGAGAUCAUGGCGCCUUCGGGGUCGUUGACAGGUGCUGCAUGGCUGUCGUCAGCUCGUGUCGUGAGAUGUUGGGUUAAGUCCCGCAACGAGCGCAACCCUUGUCAUUAGUUGCUACAUUCAGUUGGGCACUCUAAUGAGACUGCCGGUGACAAGCCGGAGGAAGGUGGGGAUGACGUCAAGUCCUCAUGGCCCUUAUGGGUAGGGCUUCACACGUCAUACAAUGGUCGGUACAGAGGGUUGCCAAGCCGCGAGGCGGAGCCAAUCCCACAAAGCCGAUCGUAGUCCGGAUUGUUCUCUGCAACUCGAGAGCAUGAAGUCGGAAUCGCUAGUAAUCGCAGGUCAACAUACUGCGGUGAAUACGUUCCCGGGUCUU